UAGAAUGAUGACAAGAGUAAUACCUUCCUAGUAAAGAUGACUCUCUCCUUAAUUCCUGUCUCGCCAAGCAGUUUAAAUUCUUUCUGCCUGUAUCAAGGUGGUUCUCAAACCUGGGUCAAAGUUGAAUCUACCUGAGGAUCUUUUAGAACAUACACAGAAAUGAGGUCUCUCUUUGUUGCCUAGAGUGGUCUUGAACUCCUGGAAUCAAGCAAUCCUCCCACCUCAGGCUCCCAAAGUGCUGGGAUUACAGUCAUAUGAUACUUCAAAAUCUGUGAUUCCAUGAAGCCAAGAGUAGCUCUUCAACAGGAAAUGAAUGAGUGCUUCAGCUAUCCACAGAAGGAAUGAUCUGCAAUGUACACAUGCCAGGACAGAAAUUCUACAGUUGCUGAUAAAAUGUAAACCUAUCACCCCACCACCAGGGUCCCUGCUUCUCCUGUAAGGGAAUCAUUAUAGAAAAAAAUUAAGAGGCUUGAGAAAAUCAGAAGUUCACAAGGGAAGAAAGGAAAGAAAUUAUAGGAAGCAGGAAGAGCUCUGGGGAGCUGUUUUCAGGAGCAAAUAUCCAGAAUGAACACCUUGACUCAUGGCUGCAUCUGCAAGGAAGAUGGGACAUCCAUUCUCACUUGUACACAGGCUAUGGGCUGUCCGGAGCCCUGAGCUGAAGACAGGCCUGCUGCUGAUCCCAGAGACAGAUGGCCAGAGUUAGGAACAGCAUGCACAAAGAAGAUCCUAAGCCUUCCUGGAGAUGUGCCAAUAUCAUCAUAUGGGGGUCUUAAAGCCAAGCAGGGGAAUAAGCGUUAUGGGGAAUGCUGAGAAGGAGAUGUAUAAUCAAGUGUGUAGGUUUAGGACUUCAGUCAAAGGGCUGCUUUUUUGCUGCUCUCAGGCAGUUUUCACUGCAUGCCUUCACCUCUGGUAUCUUCAAAGCACUCCUUGGCUUGUGCCAUUAAUACUUUACCUAAGAUUUUUAGAAAUUCUGUCUGGUCAUAUGCUACAUCCUACUUGUAUUGAAGGAACCCUUAGAAUUUCCUCUUUAUUGCUAUACAUCUCUUUAAGUCUCUUAUCUUUAGUGACUAAGGUAAAAUUUGGUCCUUUAAUAAUCAUAAUAAACAGGUAAUCAUACUUACCUGUUUCUUGAUUUGACCUGAGAACAUCUUAAGCAAAGCUUGUUAGAAAGUGAGUUAAAGCGUGGCUCUUUAGUCUGGAGCCUGUGAAGGAUGUUACAGUUGCUGGAGAUAGACAAGCAGGCUUUGUUUGCAUUGAACCACAGCAAUGUCUCAUGCUCUUCCUUGUUCUCUAUUUAGCACUUCAUCUUCAUCUAAUGUCUAACAAAGCAUGGUCUGUGGCAGGCAGUCUGUGGUAAGCAUAGU